rnacentral:rRNA from 1 species
GAUCAUGGCUCAGGAUAAACGCUGGCGGCGCACAUAAGACAUGCAAGUCGAACGAACUUAACCAUUAGUUUACUAUUGGAGCGGUUAGUGGCGGACUGGUGAGUAACACGUAAGCAACCUGCCUAUCAGAGGGGAACAACAGUUAGAAAUGACUGCUAAUACCGCAUAUGCCUUAGAAUCACAUGGUUCAAAAGGGAAAGGAGCAAUCCACUGAUAGAUGGGCUUGCGU